UACGUAGGGUGCGAGCGUUAAUCGGAAUUACUGGGCGUAAAGCGUGCGCAGGCGGUGAUGUAAGACAGAUGUGAAAUCCCCGGGCUCAACCUGGGAACUGCAUUUGUGACUGCAUCGCUGGAGUGCGGCAGAGGGGGAUGGAAUUCCGCGUGUAGCAGUGAAAUGCGUAGAUAUCGAGAGGAACACCUGCGGCGAAGGCGGGUUGCUGGGCUGAUACUGACGCUGAUGCGCGAAAGCCAGGGGAGCGAACGGG
rnacentral:rRNA from 1 species